GAUGAACGCUGGCGGCGUGCCUAAUACAUGCAAGUCGAGCGAACGGACGAGAAGCUUGCUUCUCUGAUGUUAGCGGCGGACGGGUGAGUAACACGUGGAUAACCUACCUAUAAGACUGGGAUAACUUCGGGAAACCGUAGCUAAUACCGGAUAAUAUUUUGAACCGCAUGGUUCAAAAGUGAAAGACGGUCUUGCUGUCACUUAUAGAUGGAUCCGCGCUGCAUUAGCUAGUUGGUAAGGUAACGGCUUACCAAGGCAACGAUGCAUAGCCGACCUGAGAGGGUGAUCGGCCACACUGGAACUGAGACACGGUCCAGACCCCUACGGGAGGCAGCAGUAGGGAAUCUUCCGCAAUGGGCGAAAGCCUGACGGAGCAACGCCGCGUGAGUGAUGAAGGUCUUCGGAUCGUAAAACUCUGUUAUUAGGGUAGAACAUAUGUGUAAGUAACUGUGCACAUCUUGACGGUACCUAAUCAGAAAGCCACGGCUAACUACGUG
rnacentral:rRNA from 1 species